rnacentral:piRNA from 1 species
AGGCCUCAUUCUCAACAUGGGAACCCAU